rnacentral:rRNA from 1 species
GAUGAACGCUGGCGGCGUGCCUAAUACAUGCAAGUCGAGCGAACGGACGAGAAGCUUGCUUCUCUGAUGUUAGCGGCGGACGGGUGAGUAACACGUGGAUAACCUACCUAUAAGACUGGGAUAACUUCGGGAAACCGGAGCUAAUACCGGAUAAUAUUUUGAACCGCAUGGUUCAAAAGUGAAAGACGGUCUUGCUGUCACUUAUAGAUGGAUCCGCGCUGCAUUAGCUAGUUGGUAAGGUAACGGCUUACCAAGGCAACGAUGCAUAGCCGACCUGAGAGGCUGAUCGGCCACCCUGGAACUGAGACACGGUCCAUGCUCAUACGGGAGGCAGCAGUAGCGUAUCUUCCGCAAUGGGCGAAAGCCUGACGGAGCAACGCCGCGUGAGUGAUGACGGUCUUCGGAUCGUAAAAACCUGUUACUAGGGAAGAACAUAUGUGUAAGUAAAUGUGCACAUCUUGACGGUACCUAAUCAGAAAGCCACGGCUAACUACGUG